rnacentral:rRNA from 1 species
UACGUAGGGUGCGAGCGUUGUCCGGAAUUACUGGGCGUAAAGAGCUCGUAGGUGGUUUGUCGCGUUGUUCGUGAAAUCUCACGGCUUAACUGUGAGCGUGCGGGCGAUACGGGCAGACUGGAGUACUGCAGGGGAGACUGGAAUUCCUGGUGUAGCGGUGAAAUGCGUAGAUAUCGGAAGGAACAUCAGUGGCGAAAGCGACUUCCUGGACCAGUACCGACGUUCAGGCACGAAAGCGUGGGGAGCAAGCAGG